rnacentral:sRNA from 1 species
AUAUUUUAAAAUUUUAUAAAUAUUGAUUCAAAUACAUCUACCAUGUAACCCAAUUCCAAAAUAAAACCUGUUCUAUAAUUUAUUUACCCGUCCUGUGAUUUUUUUUUAAAAUUAGUAAUUUUUAAAAUUUAAGAAUUCUUUUUUAUAUAUAAAAUUUUUGCAAAUUGUAUCAUUCUCUAAUACAUUUAUAUUUUAUAAUUUAAUUUUAUAUAUAGUAACAUUAUACAUACCACAUAACAUUUUUUGUUUUAUAUAAUCUUUUCUAAAUUAGGAUGAUUUGAUAUGUUUAAUAUUAGUGGUCUUAAAAAAUAAUAAAUUAAAGAUUUAACCCGUAUUGAAACGGUGGAUUAAUUAUAUUUUAUUUUUUAUUAAUGUUGAUUCAAAAACCCGUCACUCCAAAUCUGUCUUGCCAAAAAGCCAUUUAUUUUAUUAAUAUUAAUUUUACUAAUGAUAUGACUCUGAAUUAUAAUUUAAAUAUUUUAGCUGAUAACAUAGGAGUACACCAUAUUUAUUUAAUAGGGGAAUGUACCAUAUGACCCAAAUGCACUUUUACCCAAAUCCACCAAAAUAGUCUUGCAAAAAUACUAUAGAGAUAAGAAACGAUAGUCGGUUUUGAUAGGUAUAAGAUUAGCAAAUAUAUUAGUUAGCUUAAAUUA